GACGAACGCUGGCGGCAGGCCUAACACAUGCAAGUCGAGCGGAGCGGCGGACGGGCGAGUAAUGCCUAGGAAUCUGCCUGGUAGUGGGGGAUAAAGUCCGGAAACGGGCGCUAAUACCGCAUACUAGCAGAUGGGCCUAGGCCGGAUUAGCUAGCUGGUGGGGUAAAGGCCUACCAAGGCGACGAUCCGUAACUGGUCUGAGAGGAUGAUCAGUCACACUGGAACUGAGACACGGUCCAGACUCCUACGGGAGGCAGCAGUGGGGAAUAUUGGACAAUGGGCGCAAGCCUGAUCCAGCCAUGCCGCGUGUGUGAAGAAGGUCUUCGGAUUGUAAAGUACUUUAAGUUGGGAGGCGUUACCAACAGAAUAAGCACCGGCUAACUUCGUGCCAGCCGCCGCGGUAAUAC
rnacentral:rRNA from 1 species